AACAAGGGCAAAAUACUUGCUAUGUGGAAAAGGACUGCUCUGCAUCACCCAGGGAGAUAUCAUCAACGAUUUAUGAAAAUAUUUCAAAUAACAAAAGCUCCUGAUUUAAUGAUCAAACGUGAAGGUCAUGCAAAGCUUUGAGUUCCUUGGAUCUCCUUCUGAGAAUUCUUCAGGGUGAUUGACUGCUUCGCUGAUUGAUGAUGUGAUU